CAUUGUAGGUUGCUCUGGACAGAGCGAACUUUAAUCCUCCUUGAUAAUCUUGUUGAGAAAGGUACCCCUGAAGAUGACCACUUCCAGUUAUCUUUUCUCCAUUGCUAAACUGGAUUGCUCAGGAUGGGUAUUUUAUACCCACACACCAAAGAAACUUUUUGAAGUUUGGGGAGAUGCAUCACUGCGGAUCCUCUCGUAUUGCAGCCUUGGAUCUACCAGUUCAAGC